UAUAAGCAUUAUUAUUAGUCUAUCAAAAACUCUAAAACAUAAAUUCUCCUUGUAGCUUUCUGUGUCGUCGAUCAUGAAGAGAAAACACACCAUCACAAAACACAAAAUUGUAAUCACUCAAUUAUAAAAGCAAUCAUCCUAGAGUAUUAUUGGAUUUUGAUUCUAGUGAUCUUUUGGACUUUGCACAACUGCUUGCUGAUUGAGGUAAUAACAACGUUUGAGGAGCUAGAGAAUAAGGACUUAGUGAGACCAAUAGCGAGAUCCCUCAUGGGUUUCUAGUUUGCAUCUAAACAUUGAUAUCUAUUUGCUAAUUGCUACAUCAUUGCUAUGUAUUUGGGCAUUUUGCCUAAGACUUAUCCCGCUGUGGGAAUUACAUUUCUUUGGAUUUCAUUUAGUAAAACUCUAUUAUAAAUCCCAUGUGCUAUGUUAUGUUUUUUUGUCAUAUCCUACGAUUCCGCCUAAGGUGGGGUGUGACAUAAAAAAACUAUG